GACGAACGCUGGCGGCGUGCCUAAUACAUGCAAGUCGAGCGAAGUUUUUCUGGUGCUUGCACUAGAAAAACUUAGCGGCGAACGGGUGAGUAACACGUAAAGAACCUGCCUCAUAGACUGGGACAACUAUUGGAAACGAUAGCUAAUACCGGAUAACAGUAUUUCUCGCAUGGGAGAUAUUUAAAAGUUGGUUAUGCUAACACUAUGAGAUGGCUUUGCGGUGCAUUAGCUAGUUGGUGGGGUAAAGGCCCACCAAGGCGACGAUGCAUAGCCGACCUGAGAGGGUGAUCGGCCACACUGGGACUGAGACACGGCCCAGACUCCUACGGGAGGCAGCAGUAGGGAGUCUUCCGCAAUGGGCGAAAGCCUGACGGAGCAACGCCGCGUGAGUGAAGAAGGAUUUCGGUUCGUAAAGCUCUGUUGUUAGGGAAGAAUGGAUAUGUAGUAACUAUA
rnacentral:rRNA from 1 species